CGUACGGUAGGGCUGUGUUUACAUUCAGGCUGUCCUGGGUAUUUAAUUCGGCAAGCUUGUGCUUGCCGUUUUUUACUUCUUUGAUGUACAUGUCCCUUUACACACAGCUGCUUUCAUUGUUUUGUCUGGCUUACAGUAUAUUUUUAAAAUCAUUUUUCCUUCCCAGUAUUCAAAAAUCAUCAAUCCUUUGAGGAGAAUGAUGAGUGAAUGAAGGCUUCAUCUGUGCUAAUAGUAGCACCCCAUGAUGCUUUGCAAAGCCAGAGUGAUAUCACAAAACUGUCAGAUGGGACAGCCAUCCGGUUUUAUCCAGAGUGCUGCACAGUUGAUUCAGAUAGGAAGAAGGGAAGACUCCACAUGCUCUAGUGUUGUGCUUAUUUGGUAGCAGUGGCAGUGAAUGAGCGCAUCAGGCAAGAGAAAAGCAACAACAACAAACUGUAAUUUUCAGUUCUAAAAAGAAAUGUAAUAAGAUUACAAGAUUGGACCAUGCUUGUUGGAUCCACGCCUGAGCUGUGCACCAUGAAGGUACAACACACGGACGUCACACUGGAAAAAGUGCAAUGGCAUUCUGGAGGCUUAAAACAGGCAAAUCCUGCGAAACUCUGUUGAAAUGUUCAUCUCAUUCUGAUACUAUGUGGUUGCUUUUAUAAAGAAAAUAAAAAAUAUGCCACUAGAACAUGCUAAAGCCCUCUGCAGGAGCUGAAUG